rnacentral:rRNA from 1 species
AGUGAACGCUGGCGGUGCGCCUAACACAUGCAAGUCGAGGGGUAACUAGAGUGAUAGCAAUAUUACUUUGGCUAGACCGGCGCACGGGUGCGUAACACGUAUGCAACCUACCUUAUACUGGGGAAUAACUUCGAGAAAUCGGCGCUAAUACCCCAUAACACUGCGGAGAGGCAUCUCUUUGCAGUUAAAGCUCCGGCGGUAUAAGAUGGGCAUGCGUCCAAUUAGCUAGUUGGUGAGGUAACGGCUCACCAAGGCUACGAUUGGUAGGGGUUCUGAGAGGAUGAUCCCCCACACUGGCACUGAGACACGGACCAGACUCCUACGGGAGGCAGCAGUGAGGAAUAUUGCGCAAUGGACGAAAGUCUGACGCAGCCAUGCCGCGUGCAGGAUGACGGCCCUAUGGGUUGUAAACUGCUUUUGUACGGGAAUAAACCUCUUUGCGUGUAGAGAGCUGAAGGUACCAAAUGAAUAAGCACCGGCUAACUCCGUGCCAGCAGCCGCCGUAA